ACCCCUUGGCAAUGGGCAAGGAGGCACAUGAUUGGUGGGUGUUGCUCUUAUAUCAGUCAGGGACAAAGUUAGUUCAUCCUAGCUCGAUGCCUGUGUUGGUGGCCAGAGCUAUUCAUGCCUGGGGCACAUAA